GACGAACGCUGGCGGCGUGCCUAAUACAUGCAAGUCGAACGCUUCUUUCCUCCCGAGUGCUUGCGCUCAAUUGGCAGGAGAAGUGGCGGACGGGUGAGUAACACGUGGGUAACCUACCCAUCAGAGGGGGAUAACACUUGGCAACAGGUGCUAAUACCGCAUAACAGUUUAUGCCGCAUGGCAUAAGAGUGAAGGUCGCUUUCGGGUGUCGUUGAUGGAUGGACCGGCGGUGCAUUAGCUAGUUGGUGAGGUAACGGCUCACCAAGGCGACGAUGCAUAGCCGACCUGGGAGGGUGAGGGUCGACAGUGGGAGUGAGAGACGGGCCACACUCCGACGGGGGGCAGGAGCAGGGAAUCUCGGGAAAUGGACGAAAGGCAGACCGAGCAACGCGCCGUGGGUGAAGAAGGCUUCCGGGUGGUAAAACUCUGUUGUUAGAGAAGAACAAGGACGUUAGUAACUGACGGUCCUCGGCGGGAAUCUAACAAGAAGGCCCGGGCUACUUACGU
rnacentral:rRNA from 1 species